rnacentral:rRNA from 1 species
GUGGGGAAUAUUGGACAAUGGGCGAAAGCCUGAUCCAGCCAUGCCGCGUGAGUGAUGAAGGCCUUAGGGUUGUAAAGCUCUUUCAGUAGGGAAGAUAAUGACGGUACCUACAGAAGAAGCCCCGGCUAACUUCGUGCCAGCAGCCGCGGUAAUACGAAGGGGGCUAGCGUUGUUCGGAUUUACUGUGCGUAAAGCGCACGUAGGCGGAUUGGUCAGUUAGAGGUGAAAUCCUGGAGCUCAACUCCAGAACUGCCUUUAAUACUGCCAGUCUAGAGUCCAGAAGAGGUGAGUGGAACUCCUAGUGUAGAGGUGGAAUUCGUAGAUAUUAGGAAGAACACCAGUGGCGAAGGCGGCUCACUGGUCCGGUACUGACGCUGAGGUGCGAAAGCGUGGGGAGCAAACAGGAUUAGAAACCCUUGUAGUCC